GAUCUGAUAGCACAAUGGUUAAUGCGUCUGCUCUACUUCAGGCAUACGCAGAAGGUCACCCGUUCGAUUCGGGGUCGGGUCA